GAAAUGCGAUAAGUAAUGUGAAUUGCAGAAUUCAGUGAAUCAUCGAAUCUUUGAACGCACCUUGCGCUCUUUGGUAUUCCGAAGAGCACACCUGUUCGAGUGUCGUGAAUAUCUCAAUCCGAAUAGUUUUUAUUAAUUGUUCGAAUUGGUUUUGGACUCUGUCGUCUCUUCAACGAACGACUGGUCUUAAAAGUAUUAGCUGGUCUCAGAUUGGGAAUGGUUUGACUUGGCGUGAUAAUAACUGAUCGUCAAGGACAUCUUUUGGGAUGGCCAUUAACUAACUAAGUCCGCUUCUAAUUGUCUUUUUUGGACAAAAUUUUCAACUUUGACCUCGAAUCAGGUGGGACUACCCGCUGAACUUAA
rnacentral:misc_RNA from 1 species